UCAGAUGAGCCUAGGUCGGAUUAGCUAGUUGGUGAGGUAAAGGCUCACCAAGGCGACGAUCCGUAACUGGUCUGAGAGGAUGAUCAGUCACACUGGAACUGAGACACGGUCCAGACUCCUACGGGAGGCAGCAGUGGGGAAUAUUGGACAAUGGGCGAAAGCCUGAUCCAGCCAUGCCGCGUGUGUGAAGAAGGUCUUCGGAUUGUAAAGCACUUUAAGUUGGGAGGAAGGGCAGUAAGUUAAUACCUUGCUGUUUUGACGUUACCAACAGAAUAAGCACCGGCUAACUUCGUGCCAGCAGCCGCGGUAAUACGAAGGGUGCAAGCGUUAAUCGGAAUUACUGGGCGUAAAGCGCGCGUAGGUGGUUCGUUAAGUUGGAUGUGAAAGCCCCGGGCUCAACCUGGGAACUGCAUCCAAAACUGGCGAGCUAGAGUAUGGCAGAGGGUGGUGGAAUUUCCUGUGUAGCGGUGAAAUGCGUAGAUAUAGGAAGGAACACCAGUGGCGAAGGCGACCACCUGGGCUAAUACUGACACUGAGGUGCGAAAGCGUGGGGAGCAAACACSGAUUAGAAUACCCUGGUAGUCCACGCCGUAAACGAUGUCGACUAGCCGUUGGGAUCCUUGAGAUCUUAGUGGCGCAGCUAACGCAUUAAGUCGACCGCCUGGGGAGUACGGCCGCAAGGUUAAAACUCAAAUGAAUUGACGGGGGCCCGCACAAGCGGUGGAGCAUGUGGUUUAAUUCGAAGCAACGCGAAGAACCUUACCAGGCCUUGACAUGCAGAGAACUUUCCAGAGAUGGAUUGGUGCCUUCGGGAA
rnacentral:rRNA from 2 species